rnacentral:lncRNA from 1 species
GAAAAAAAACAUUUGGACGGACCAACCGGACCAACCGGUUUUCCAUCCGGUCAGACCAUCCAGACGGAAAUCUAGUCCGUCCGAUUUUUUUGUAAUUUUAUUUCAAAUUUAAUUAAAUCUCUUAAUUUCGUUUAGGUCGGUUCGUUAAUUUGAAUACUUGAAGUAUCGGUUGAAUGCAAGGAUAUCGCUAUGAGUACUACAAUAAGUGUUCGACCAGUGUUUGAGAAUGAUUGAGUUUAUUGAAGAUUGAAGUUCUUAAAAGUUUUCGAAAUUUAUUAAAGGAUAAUUUAGUCGCGUCGUCUAAAUCGAAAUAUAGGGUCUUGUUUAGGGAUUCAGUUUGUAAAUAGUGUAUUUCCCAAUUCGUCGAAAUUGGAAUUAACAGAAAUCCCUAAUUUCGAUGUAAUUAGAUUUCAUGUUUUUCGAUCAAAUUUUGUACGGUUGGAAUUGGUUUUAAUUAAGAUGCAAAAUUACCAAACUAUCCUCACUUUAAUUCUAUCAAUAUCCUUAUCUUCUCCUCUCCUUCCUACUCUUUCUUAUCACCAGAAACCCUAAAAAAACCUUCUUCUUCCUUGUUCUUCCAAUUGAACCCAAUUCUUCUACCGUACCUAUCCACCGUCAACGCCAUCGAUCGAGUGUUUUCCUUAGCGCCCAUCCAUCUAUCGUGAGCAGACCCUUCCCUUCCCUUCAGUUCAGCCAUCGAUCGCGUUCUGUCCUUCAGUCGGGAUUUACAAAAGAAUGAAGAAAGCAUAACAAGUCAGCCACUGCAUCGAACUAGUGAAAGAGAACAGCACAAUAAAACAGUUGAUGUUUUUAAUCAGUCAACCAUAAAUCAAAACUCUAAAUCAGAUAAAUCGAAAACCAUGAGAUGCCUUAAUCGAAAAACCCUAAAAAUAAGAUGAACUAAUUCGAAAACCUAGAUCGGAACUGACAGUAAUCGUCAAGAACCCAGAAGAAGAAGAGGGAUAUGAGUUACCUAAAUAACGAUACAGAAGGAGAUGAUGGGCGAUGAAUGACGAUUUGGGUUUUCACCACGAGUUGGGUUUUGAGGGUUGUAGGACACUCUGCGAUUAUCUGGAGGUAAAGAGCUUGGGGACGAGCUGCGCGAAAGGAGAUCGAGGACGACGAGCUUGUCGGAGGAUGUUCGCCGCCGACUAGAUGGAAGAAACUCAAAACUCCAUUUUGGAGCAUUGGAUUGAAGGAAGAUCAUCUGUGAGCUGUCGUUUGAUUUCAGCAUAUGGUGGUCAAAGUCAAUUUCAUCAUCACGUAGCCUCGUUUAUUUAUUUUGAUUGGAUAAAACC